GAUGAACGCUGACAGAAUGCUUAACACAUGCAAGUCUACUUGAAACACUUUCGGGUGUGGAUGGUGGCGGACGGGUGAGUAACGCGUAAAGAACUUGCCCCUUAGCCUGGGACAACUGUUGGAAACGACAGCUAAUACCGGAUAUUAUGAGACUCUGGCAUCAGAGACUUAUGAAAGCUAUAUGCGCUAAGGGAGAGCUUUGCGUCCUAUUAGCUAGUUGGUGAGGUAAUGGCUCACCAAGGCGACGAUAGGUAGCCGGCCUGAGAGGGUGAACGGCCACAAGGGGACUGAGACACGGCCCUUACUCCUACGGGAGGCAGCAGUGGGGAAUAUUGGACAAUGGACCAAAAGUCUGAUCCAGCAAUUCUGUGUGCUUGAUGAAGGCCUUCGGUUGUAAGAGCUUAAGUAGGAAGAAGAAAGUAGACGGUACCUACAGAAUAAGACGACGGCGUAAAUACGUA
rnacentral:rRNA from 1 species